CUUGCAUACAUUUACCAAAAUUCUCAAGGAAAAAAAAUAAGGGAGAGAACGAAAGAAAGAAAAAAUAGAGAGAGAGGCAGAAAUAUUGUAAAAAUUAGUUUAUAGUGAUUUCUUUCAAUUCUAUAGUAAUUUUGUGGAUGAUUUAUCUUUGCUUAAGUGUCACCAUCACAGUCAUUGAUUAAGGUUAAGCUGAUCCGAAACCGAAGACGCUGCCUACUACUUCUUCUUUUAGCGGUGAUCCACUGUAAAACUCUCUCGAAACACCCUUGGUUAAGUUUUUUUGAAUCCCUCGAAGACCGUAACUUGUCCAUUCUCCAGCCAGGAACCGGCGACCGGAAUCUGAAACCCUAUCCAAAAAUCCUUAUUGAUGGCCAGUGAUGCAUGCUCCUCAAACACGAGACGAAGCAGAGGUGGAGACGACGGACAACAGGAACUCAAAGCUGGAUAUGCAACCUCAUGUUCGCUGCAACCUGGGGAUGUAAAAGAUGGUGUGGCCCCAAAAUGCUUCUGUGGAAAAUAUGCCAUCUGUUACAUGUCGAAAACAAACAUCCACUCGAAUAGGCUAUUUUUUGGAUGCCCAUUGUUAAAGGUGACACAACUACAUUGCAAAUUCUUUGUCUGGGUUGAUGACCACAUUGUAAGGGUCAGAGCAGUGGAGCCAAUAAAGGGAUUGGGUGACGGCAAGCCAAAUGAUGUUGAAGAGCAUUCGGGACUAGAUAACUUGAUUGCUCAUGUAGAGGAAAGAAUAGUAAACCUAGAGAAGUUGCUGAACAAAAAGACUAGAGAAGCAGAGUUGAAGAAGAAGAAGAAUAGAAAAGCAACUGCAAGAGAGAAGGAGGCUUCAUCAAUAAAAUCUAAUGAUUAGAUCAAAACCAGAACCACAAGCACCUCUAAUAGGUUUAGAAACUUAAGAAUAAUUUCCUUCUUUGUUCUGUUUGUCAAAGACAAUAGCAUGACAUCGUUAUUAAAUUACUGCAGGGCUACAAAAGAUCAAUGAUGAUUGUUUUUUUGGAGAUAAUUCUAGGUAAUUACGUUAUCUAUGAUAGUUUGUGAAUUUUUCUUUUAGAAUGUAAACACAAAAUUGAUUGAAAAUUUUAAAAGAAAAAUUGGUGAUGCCGUUUCGUGACAUAAACUUUCUUUGAUAUGGGUAAGAUGGUUAGAAUUUGAUUA